AGAAUCAACGCUGGCGGCGUGCCUAACACAUGCAAGUCGAUCGAGAAGUGGAGCAAUCCAUGAGUAAAGAGGCGCACGGGUGAGUAACACGUGACUAACCUACCCUCGAGUGGGGAAUAACCUGGGAAACCCGGGCUAAUACCGCAUAACACCUACGGGUCAAAGGAGCAAUUCGCUUGAGGAGGGGGUCGCGGCAGAUUAGUUAGUUGGCGGGGUAAUGGCCCACCAAGACGAUGAUCUGUAUCCGGCCUGAGAGGGCGCACGGACACACUGGAACUGAAACACGGUCCAGACUCCUACGGGAGGCAGCAGUGGGGAAUUUUGCGCAAUGGGGGAAACCCUGACGCAGCAAACGCCGCGUGGAGGAUGAAGUCCCUUGGGACGUAAACUCCUUUCGACCGGGACGAUUAUGACGGUACCGGAUGAAGAAGCCCCGGCUAACUUCGUGCCAGCAGCCGC
rnacentral:rRNA from 1 species